AAGGCGCUCCCGCCCAGGUCUACUGGUCAGAACCCCCAGGGCACAGCCUCAUGUCCUAGGUCAGAACCCCCAGGGCACAGCCUCAUGUCCUAGGUCAGAACCCCCAGGGCACAGCCUCAUGUCCUAGGUCAGAACCCCCAGGGCACAGCCUCAUGUCCUAGGUCAGAACCCCCAGGGCACAGCCUCAUGUCCUAGGUCAGAACCCCCAGGGCACAGCCUCAUGUCCUAGGUCAGAACCCCCAGGGCACAGCCUCAUGUCCUAGGUCAGAACCCCCAGGGCACAGCCUCAUGUCCUAGGCCUCCUAGGAUUCAACCAGACCUCCAAACGAUCCUGAGGCACGUUAUCCAAAAAAAAGCAGCCACUUCAACUUACCCUCCUGAGAGAACAGGUAACACCACUCGGACAAAUGGAGGAUCAAACGGAAAGUUAUCCUAGA